rnacentral:misc_RNA from 1 species
UCAAAAAAAUUCAUUUUUUUUUUGAAAUACUUUUCCAUUUCCCUUGUGUAUCUAUUCCAUGUUGCUUCCACUAGACUGGUAUAUAUAUAUAUAUACCCUCCAAACCUCGUUGUUAACACUCUCGGGCUUGGAGACAUGUCAGUGGAUAGCCAUAAUUUUAAGAAAAACCUUUUAUAUAUAGUCUGAUAAAAAAGAGUUACAUUUAAAGAAAAA